UCCCAGACUCCUACGGGAGGCAGCAGUGGGGAAUAUUGGGCAAUGGGCGCAAGCCUGACCCAGCAACGCCGCGUGAAGGAAGAAGGCUUUCGGGUUGUAAACUUCUUUUAAGAGGGAAGAGAAGAAGACGGUACCUCUUGAAUAAGCCACGGCUAACUACGUGCCAGCAGCCGCGGUAAUACGUAGGUGGCAAGCGUUGUCCGGAUUUACUGGGUGUAAAGGGCGUGUAGCCGGGAAGACAAGUCAGAUGUGAAAUCCCGCGGCUCAACCGCGGAACUGCAUUUGAAACUGGUUUUCUUGAGUUCCCGAGAGGUCAUCGGAAUUCCUUGUGUAGCGGUGAAAUGCGUAGAUAUAAGGAAGAACACCAGUGGCGAAGGCAGAUGACUGGACGGCAACUGACGGUGAGGCGCGAAAGCGUGGGGAGCAAACAGGAUUAGAUACCCGUGUAC
rnacentral:rRNA from 1 species